GAUGAACGCUAGCUACAGGCUUAACACAUGCAAGUCGAGGGGCAGCAGGGAUUUAGCUUGCUAAAUUCGCUGGCGACCGGCGCACGGGUGCGUAACGCGUAUCCAACUUUCCCGUUACUCUCGGAUAGCCUUCCGAAAGGGAGAUUAAUACGAGAUGGUGUUCUAAUUUCGCAUGUUAUUAGAACUAAAGAUUUAUCGGUAACGGAUGGGGAUGCGUUCCAUUAGGUAGUAGGCGGGGUAACGGCCCACCUAGCCGACGAUGGAUAGGGGUUCUGAGAGGAAGGUCCCCCACACUGGAACUGAGACACGGUCCAGACUCCUACGGGAGGCAGCAGUGAGGAAUAUUGGUCAAUGGGCGCAAGCCUGAACCAGCCAAGUAGCGUGAAGGAAGACUGCCCUAUGGGUUGUAAACUUCUUUAUACGGGAACAACCACAGGUACGUGUACCUGUCUGCGUGUACCGUAUGAAUAAGCAUCGGCUAACUCCGUG
rnacentral:rRNA from 1 species